GGGGGUAUAGCUCAGUGAUAGAGCAUUUGACUGCAGAUCGAAAGGUCCCCGGUUCAAAUCCGGGGUCCCCUU